ensembl:lncRNA
GAAGCUCGCUUGUCAUUGCAUUUUGGCAUCCAAGGAUUUGGACAGCACCUCCAAGACCGAGACCUUGGCAGCAGCAUGGAGGAGAAGAGCUCUUCCCUGGUGUCCACUGGGGACAAGCAGGCGGGGCGGGGACUCUGGUUUGCCCCUUCCCCUUGGGGGUGGUAGUUGUGUCCUGGCCUGGCCUUUGCUUCAGUCCUUGUAAUGACCUGGAACCCACACCCUGGGGUCCUGGUGGGGUUCCCCCAGGGUGACCCCUCUUCCUGUGGUGCCCCUGUGGACGGUGCCCCUGUGGACAGUGCCCCACCUCGAUGCCCGGGUCUCUUUGUCCCAACUGCUGUGCAUGGGUCGUGGUGGGGUUCUCAGCCCUGGCUUGUUCACUGUACUUUCCCAUUCUGUCUCCAGUGCUGGCCGUGACCCCCCUGCCCCACUACCAUAGUGGCUAUCAGCUGUGCUCAGGGCACCCUUCGACUGGGCACGUGGUGUAGCAGGAAACCACUCCUGAUUGCAGAAGACACCGCCUCCUCCCUGUCCUCCUUGCCACUCCUGUGCAGGGUUCAAGCUCUGCUGGCUGUGGUGGUGCACACCUGUGACUCCAGCAUUCAGGAGGCUGAAGCAGGAGGACCACUGGAAGUUCAAGGCCAGCCUGGGCUACAUAUGCUAUGGAUCAAACCCAGGACCUCAGCCAUGCUAAGAAAGUGCAGAACCACUGAGCUACAACCCUAGCAAGAAAGGAUGCUUCUGAAAGACAUUGGAAGUUGUCUUCAUUGGCAGUUGCUUCAGUGGCCAGCAAAGUAUUUGACAGAGCAAACACCUUGAAACUCUGAAGCACAGACUACCUAAUCUGUUUUUUUAAAUUUAGUUUAUAGGGGCUGGGGAUUUAGCUCAGUGGUUUUGCCGACUGCCCUGAAAGUGCAAGGACCCGAGUUCGAUCCCUGGUACCAAAACAAACAAACAAACAAACCCAAAAUUUAGGUUAUAAUUCAUAUACCAUAAAACUUACGUGUGUGUGUGUGUGUGUGUGUGUGUGUGUGUGUGGUACUAGGGUUUGAACUAGAGUCUUAGCACUGAGCUACAGCCCCCAUAUUUUAUUUUAUAUUUUGAGAUAGGAUCUCUCUAAGUUGCCCAGACUGGAUUUGAACUUGUGAUGAUGCUCCUGCCUGAUAUAAAAUUUACCCUUUGGGAAGUGCACAAUUUAAUGGUUUUAUAAUAUUCACAAAGUUGUUCAACUGUUACUGCCAUCUAAUUCCAGAGCAAGCUGCUUCUGAAGCUUGUAGAUGUUAAAUGAGGAGGUCCUUGGGUUUUGAACAUAUUUACAAAACAUAAACACAUAGCACUUCCCCAUUGUGUUCAAAGGCCGAAUAAUUGACAACAGGGAAGACAGAAAUAUACUAGCUGGAUUAAACAAAAGCUGUCACAUAAUUGGUGGCUGGGAUUUAAAAAUGAGAAAGAUGAUUCAGUAAGCUCAGCUAAUGACGGCCCCUCUUCCAUUCAGCACCCAUAUUUUUGCGACAGCACUAAAGCCCAGAAUUGAAAUAAACUGCCCGAGAGCCAGGACUUCAAAUGGAUGUUUUAUGCUGUUCAAUCAAGAUUUUAGCAAAUAAGGAAGCAUAUGCAAUCAUACUAAUAUAUUUCUAGUGGG